AGUAGGGAAUCUUCCGCAAUGGACGAAAGUCUGACGGAGCAACGCCGCGUGAGCGAUGAAGGCCUUCGGGUCGUAAAGCUCUGUUGUUAGGGAAGAACAAGUACCGGAGUAACUGCCGGUACCUUGACGGUACCUAACCAGAAAGCCACGGCUAACUACGUGCCAGCAGCCGCGGUAAUACGUAGGUGGCAAGCGUUGUCCGGAAUUAUUGGGCGUAAAGCGCGCGCAGGCGGUCCUUUAAGUCUGAUGUGAAAGCCCACGGCUCAACCGUGGAGGGUCAUUGGAAACUGGGGGACUUGAGUACAGAAGAGGAAAGUGGAAUUCCACGUGUAGCGGUGAAAUGCGUAGAGAUGUGGAGGAACACCAGUGGCGAAGGCGACUUUCUGGUCUGUAACUGACGCUGAGGCGCGAAAGCGUGGGGAGCAAA
rnacentral:rRNA from 1 species